GCCAGCAGCCGCGGUAACACGUAUGGGGCGAGCGUUGUUCGGAAUUAUUGGGCGUAAAGGGCGCGCAGGCGGUCUCAUAAGCCUGGUGUGUAAGCCAGCAGCUCAACUGUUGUUGUGCGCUGGGAACUGUGAGACUUGAGUUCAGGAGGGGAAGCUGGAAUUCCAGGUGUAGGGGUGAAAUCUGUAGAUAUCUGGAAGAACAUCAGUGGCGAAGGCGAGCUUCUGGCCUUGAACUGACGCUGAGGCGCGAAAGCGUGGGGAGCGAACAGGAUUAGAUACCCUGGUAGUCCACGCCGUAAACGAUGUGCACUAGGUGUUGGACCAUUGACGGUUCAGUGCCGUAGCUAACGCGUUAAGUGCACCGCCUGGGGAGUAUGCCCGCAAGGGUGAAACUCAAAGGAAUUGACGGGGGCCCGCACAAGCGGUGGAGCAUGUGGUUUAAUUCGAUGAUACGCGAGAAACCUUACCAGGGCUUGACAUCAGCCGGACGGCAGUAGAGAUACUGCUUCCCUUCGGGGCCGGUUGACAGGUGCUGCAUGGCUGUUGUCAGCUCGUGCCGUGAGGUGUUGGGUUAAGUCCCGCAACGAGCACAACCCCUGCUAUCUGUUGCCAGCAUUUUGGAUGGGGACUCAGAUGGAACUCCCGGUGACAAACCGGAGGAAGGGGG
rnacentral:rRNA from 1 species